UCCAGAAGCUGCAUGGAUUACACUAAGAGGCCAGGAGGGGGCUUCGGGAUUUGAGCAGCUCAGAGAAGUAUGCCUCAGGUGCAUCCUUGUUGGGUAGGAAUGACUAAGUGUCUAUUCCUCACAGCCUCAGUGGGUUCAGCUUCAAAAAUUGGGCUAUCCAACUACUUCUGGGGCCACAGGAGAAUGAUUAAUGAUUAACGACUGGCUACUUCCAAGGCUCACGGUGGGCUUGAAGAUCCCAAACUGAGAGAGACCCUGAGACCCCUGGCACCAGUGGGUAAGACUUAAACUCAGAGAGGAAAUCAGCUCUCCUGUAGUCUGGUGCUCUGCCCUGUCACUACAAUGGAACUCCAGGGGCUACAGGAUGAUUCUGGAAAAGCAUUCUAUAGGACUGAGCAGGUCUUCUCUGGAGCACUGACCCCUCCAGUGCAGGCAGAGAGUGAAUGCAGCUUCCAGUCAUCUACCCCAGGCCUUGGGCUGUACGUUUCCCCUCUUAUUCCUGACUGGUAGUGCCAACACUUGCUGAGAAAGCCACUCCCAGCAUCCCCUCUGGUUUCUGAAAGUAUUUUAAAAAUAAAUUUUUCUCAUAUGCC
rnacentral:lncRNA from 1 species